AUGAACGCUGGCGGCGUGUCUAAUACAUGCAAGUCGAGCGAACAGACGAGGAGCUUGCUCCUCUGACGUUAGCGGCGGACGGGUGAGUAACACGUGGAUAACCUACCUAUAAGACUGGGAUAACUUCGGGAAACCGGAGCUAAUACCGGAUAAUAUAUUGAACCGCAUGGUUCAAUAGUGAAGGACGGUUUUGCUGUCACUUAUAGAUGGAUCCGCGCCGCAUUAGCUAGUUGGUAAGGUAACGGCUUACCAAGGCAACGAUGCGUAGCCGACCUGAGAGGGUGAUCGGCCACACUGGAACUGAGACACGGUCCAGACUCCUACGGGAGGCAGCAGUAGGGAAUCUUCCGCAAUGGGCGAAAGCCUGACGGAGCAACGCCGCGUGAGUGAUGAAGGUCUUCGGAUCGUAAAACUCUGUUAUUAGGGAAGAACAAAUGUGUAAGUAACUAUGCACGUCUUGACGGUACCUAAUCAGAAAGCCACGGCUAACUACGUG
rnacentral:rRNA from 1 species